UGGCGUGCAUUUCCACCGUACCCCUUCCCCCUAAGAAUAUAGAAAAAUGUUUAAUUUAAAUAAAUUAGCAAACACACUUGGCAUUCGAUCAAGAGUCGGCCUCUGAUGCCGUUCUGUGGGCACACGACGCUAUCGCCAGAACUAAUAACAGAAAAACCUGCCAGGGGUAUACAUAUAUAGAUCGAAGAAGAAGCACACCCAUGGAAUCGAAGGCAUAAUUCACGGGGAUUAUGGCAGGAGGAGGAUUUAAGAACAGGAAUGGUCCAUCCACUUGUUGGCGUGGGCAGUCCAAAAUGCGACUUAGAGCAUAAUCGUUUUGGGCGGUAGAUACAUACAUAUGUAGAUACAUAGUUAUCUAUAUAUUCUUUUCUAUAUCUUUGCUCAGAUUGGUAGAGGGAAGAUCUUAACGUGGGCUGACCGAACACACCCCCAAGUUUUUAUUUGGCUUUUCCGAUUUUUCAGAUCGGUAGCAAUGCUAAUUAUAAGUUCCAAGUACGCCGGAGAUCGCUCGGGGAAAAGAGACGUGAACGUGGUAAAUGUGGACAAGCGGAUCGAAAGAGCAGGGGGGAGAGGAGAAAAAUAGUGCAUGUAAUUUGUUAGCCAUUUCAGACGUUUCAUGAUCCUCAUUAACGUCAAUUCCCAACCGAUCCGAUCCAAACCGUUCUCCCACCAAAGAUUAUAUUCAAUUUAUAGAAUGUAGUGUGCUCUGUGAGAAAUUUUCGGAUUCGUUUCAGAGAUUUCUGCUCUGCUCGGGUGUUUUUCCCAAUUUGUAUUUUGUUCUAUCUGCGAGUAUCUUUUGUUUGUUUUUGCGCUUUUUCCUGACGAAAAACUUUUCCGACCCAAGAGCGCGAUCGCAAGGGAGAGGGAGAAGAGAACAUCAGCACACAGACUGCAGAUCAGUUUAUGAUAAAAUUUCGAAUCGUUUAGAACGUCGCCAACGAAAGACGGGCAGACGACGAAAAUUUCGACGAUUUUCCGUGUGUUUUACGGUUUUUCUGUGGAAUUAUUAUUGGCAGCGGAGAAACUUGCCCGCGUUCUCGCACUCUAUAUGUGUCGCCUAGUCGUCUAUAUGUGCCGAAGUUCUUGAACGCAGUGAGAAGCGCGUAGAGAGGCGCAAGUCUGUCAGCAUACUGUUAGUGGCCUGUUAGCUAUUUAGUUGCCCAAUAGGAGGAGCAAACCAAUUAGCAACAAAUCGAGUCUCCCAGUUAAUUGCUAGCGCUCACAGACCUCAGGCAACACAAGAUCAGAUCGGUUAGGAUCAGAUUAGCGUAAUGAGACAUUGAGGAUCCGACGCAGGGCAGCUAAACACGAGUGAAACGCCAGCACUCCGAGAAGCCAGAACGCAUGUUACAGUUGCACUUCUAUUCGAAUCAUGCGGGUCGCCUGGUGCUCGGCGGUGGCAGCGGUCGCCCGGCCGACGUCCUUUGUUACCCUUUGGAGAGCAUCAAAGAGUUCGAGCAGAUCUCUGAGGCCUGGAAGCGUCUGCUAGCCGAGCUGC